GGAUGCAAUCGUCUUGUUAUUAACUCUGAUAAUAUGGAAGUGAUCGAGAGAAUGAAGAAUGGAGGACGGUCUGCAGGAGCGGCGACGGCAGUGUUUGACGAUUGCUAUUUUUUGGCUUGUGACUUUCCUAUCACUAGUUAACAUUGUAAUAGGGAAGCGAACAUGUUUGCUCAUGAAAUUGCUAGGCUAGCAAAAUUUGCUGCAACAAAUUCUUGGUUUGAGGAGCUGAUGGAUGAUAUUGUAACACCUUUAAUAGACGAUGUAACUAUUAUUACCAAUUAA
rnacentral:rRNA from 1 species